rnacentral:rRNA from 1 species
AUACGGAGGGGGCAAGCGUUGUUCGGAAUUACUGGGCGUAAAGCGCGCGUAGGCGGUCUGUUUAGUCAGGCGUGAAAUCCCUGGGCUCAACCCAGGAAUUGCGUUUGAAACUGGCAGACUAGAGUUCGGGAGAGGAGAGUGGAAUUCCCAGUGUAGAGGUGAAAUUCGUAGAUAUUGGGAAGAACACCAGUGGCGAAGGCGGCAGCCUGGCCUAAUACUGACGCUGAGGUGCGAAAGCGUGGGGAGCAAACAGGAUUAGAUACCCCGGUAGUCC